CACCAGAAGUAGAUAGCUUAACCUUCGGGAGGGCGUUUACCACGGUGUGAUUCAUGACUGGGGUGAAGUCGUAACAAGGUAACCCUAGGGGAACCUGGGGUUGGAUCACCUCCUUACCUUAAUGA
rnacentral:rRNA from 1 species